rnacentral:rRNA from 1 species
UACGGGGGGGGCAAGCGUUGUUCGGAAUUACUGGGCGUAAAGGGCUCGUAGGCGGCCAACUAAGUCAGACGUGAAAUCCCCAGGCUCAACCUGGGAACUGCGUCUGAUACUGGAUGGCUUGAAUUCGGGAGAGGGAUGCAGAAUUCCAGGUGUAGCGGUGAAAUGCGUAGAUAUCUGGAGGAACACCGGUGGCGAAGGCGGCAUCCUGGACCGACAUUGACGCUGAGGCGCGAAAGCCAGGGGAGCAAAGCGGG